UACGUAGGGUGCAAGCGUUAAUCGGAAUUACUGGGCGUAAAGCGUGCGCAGGCGGUUUGGUAAGACAGAUGUGAAAUCCCCGGGCUCAACCUGGGAAUUGCAUUUGUGACUGCCCGGCUAGAGUGUGUCAGAGGGGGGGUAGAAUUCCACGUGUAGCAGUGAAAUGCGUAGAUAUGUGGAGGAAUACCGAUGGCGAAGGCAGCCCCCCUGGGAUAACACUGACGCUCAUGCACGAAAAGCGUGGGGGAGCAAACAGGAUGAUGAAACCGUACGUGUCAGACCAAGUCCAUCUGCUACCCGUCA
rnacentral:rRNA from 1 species